rnacentral:rRNA from 1 species
UACGUAGGGGGCAAGCGUUGUCCGGAAUCAUUGGGCGUAAAGCGCGUGUAGGCGGCCCGGUAAGUCCGCUGUGAAAGUCGGGGGCUCAACCCUCGAAUGCCGGUGGAUACUGUCGGGCUAGAGUGCGGGAGAGGCGAGUGGAAUUCCUGGUGUAGCGGUGAAAUGCGCAGAUAUCAGGAGGAACACCAAUUGCGAAGGCAGCUCGCUGGAACGUAACUGACGCUGAGACGCGAAAGCGUGGGGAGCGAACAGG